GAAAAUUUUGAGAUGAUUGAGUCAGAAUUUGAUGAAAGUUUAAAAAUCUCAACUGAUUGUUUAUAAGCAGUAUUGGUGGCUUGGUGCAAUUUUGGAAUAUAAUUGUUCUGGCAUUAUCCUUACUGGAAUUUUUGGAUGCCCAUGCUGCUGUUGCUGGAAUUUUUGGAUGCUGGUGUUGCUGUGUUUUUUUCUUCAAACUAUGCUGGAUGUUUAUGAUAAUUUAUUGCUGAUUGCUAAUGUAUUCGCUUGUUAAUGUUAACUUUUCUAGUGCGAACAAACUUUUAAUUUGAAGUGUUCAAAUUUUAUCAUGCAUCUUGCAUAUUGAAAUUAAUUUAUUGCAUUGCAUGCAUAUUGAAAUUAA